rnacentral:rRNA from 1 species
UAGCCAGACUCCUACGGGAGGCAGCAGUGAGGAAUAUUGGUCAAUGGCCGAGAGGCUGAACCAGCCAAGUCGCGUGAGGGAAGACGGUCCUAUGGAUUGUAAACCUCUUUUGUCGGGGAGCAACGAGGCCACGUGUGGCCGAAGUGAGAGUACCCGAAGAAAAAGCAUCGGCUAACUCCGUGCCAGCAGCCGCGGUAAUACGGAGGAUGCGAGCGUUAUCCGGAUUUAUUGGGUUUAAAGGGUGCGUAGGCGGAAUGCCAAGUCAGCGGUAAAAUCGCGGGGCUCAACCUCGCUCCGCCGUUGAAACUGGCGUUCUUGAGUGGGCGAGAAGUAUGCGGAAUGCGUGGUGUAGCGGUGAAAUGCAUAGAUAUCACGCAGAACUCCGAUUGCGAAGGCAGCAUACCGGCGCCCAACUGACGCUGAAGCACGAAGGCGUGGGUAUCGAACAGGAUUAGAUACCCUAGUAAU